rnacentral:rRNA from 1 species
CCCUUAGAUGUUCUGGGCCGCACGCGUGCUACACUGAGUGGAUCAGCGGGUCAGGUUGCGCGAAAGCGUUUCCUAAUCUUUAAAUCCGCUCGUGAUGGGGAUUGACGGUUGCAAUUUUCUGUCAUGAACGAGGAAUACCUUGUAAGCGCGGGUCAUCAUCCCGCGCUGAAUACGUCCCUGCCCUUUGUACACACCGCCCGUCGCUCCUACCGAUUGAGUGGUCCGGUUAGGCUUUGGGAUCUGAGCGGAAAGAGCGUUUCGCUGUUUCUGCCCGGAAAACUCAGUCGAACCUUAUCAUUUAGAGGAAGGAGAAGUCGUAACA